rnacentral:rRNA from 1 species
GACGAACGCUGGCGGCGUGCUUAACACAUGCAAGUCGAACGGAAAGGCCCUGCUUUUGUGGGGUGCUCGAGUGGCGAACGGGUGAGUAACACGUGAGUAACCUGCCCUUGACUUUGGGAUAACUUCAGGAAACUGGGGCUAAUACCGGCUAGGAGCUCCUGCUGCAUGGUGGGGGUUGGAAAGUUUCGGCGGUUGGGGAUCGACUCGCGGCUUAUCAGCUUGUUGGUGGGGUAGUGGCUUACCAAGGCUUUGACGGGUAGCCGGCCUGAGAGGGUGACCGGCCACAUUGGGACUGAGAUACGGCGCAGACUCGUACGGGAGGCAGCAGUGGGGAAUAUUGCACAAUGGGCGGAAGUCUGAUGCAGCAACGCCGCGUGCGGGAUGACGGCCUUCGGGUUGUAAACCGCUUUCGCCUGUGACGAAGCGUGAGUGACGGUAAUGGGUAAAGAAGCACCGGCUAACUACGUG